AGGGUUUGAUCAUGGCUCAGAACGUACGCUGGCGGCACGCCUAAUACAUGCAAGUCGAACGAAGUAGCAAUACUUAGUGGCAGACGGGUGAGUAAUAUGUAGGUAUCUUCCCAUUGGUGAGGAAUAACACGAGGAAACUUGUGCUAAUACCUCAUAAGUCUUUACGGAGAAAGCUUUAUGCGCCGAUGGAUGAGCCUGCACUUGAUUAGUUUGUUGGUAGGGUAAUGGCCUACCAAGACAAUGAUCAAUAGCUGAUUUGAGAGGAUGAUCAGCCACAUUGGGACUGAGACACGGCCCAAACUCCUACGGGAGGCAGCAGUAGGGAAUCUUGCACAAUGGGGGAAACCCUGAUGCAGCGAUGCCGCGUGAGUGAAGAAGGCCUUUGGGUUGUAAAGCUCUUUCGUCGGGGAAGAAAAUGACUGUACCCGAAUAAGAAGGUCCGGCUAACUUCGUGCCAGCCGCCGCGGUAAUUC
rnacentral:rRNA from 1 species